rnacentral:rRNA from 1 species
GAUGAACGCUGGCGGCGUGCCUAAUACAUGCAAGUCGAGCGAACAGACGAGGAGCUUGCUCCUCUGACGUUAGCGGCGGACGGGUGAGUAACACGUGGAUAACCUACCUAUAAGACUGGGAUAACUUCGGGAAACCGGAGCUAAUACCGGAUAAUAUAUUGAACCGCAUGGUGCAAUAGUGAAAGACGGUGUUGCUGUCACUUAUAGAUGGAUCCGCGCCGCAUUAGCUAGUUGGUAGGGUAACGGCUUACCAAGGCGACGAUGCGUAGCCGACCUGAGAGGGUGAUCGGCCACACGGGAGCUGAGACACGGUCCAGGCUCCUGCGGGAGGCAGCAGUAGGGAAUCUUCCGCAGUGGGCGAAAGCCUGACGGAGCAACGCCGCGUGAGUGAUGGAGGCCUUCGGAUCGUAAAACUCUGUUAUUAGGGAAGAACAAAUGUGUCAGUAACUGUGCCCGGAUUGACGGUACCGAAUCAGAAAGCCACGGCUAACUACGUG